ACUAGUCAAAAAAUAAACAAAGAAAGAAAUAGGGUAAAUCAACUAAGAAGUAAAUCAACCAAAAAGUGAAGCAUCUAAGAAAUAAACCAAGCAAAAACUUAACUAAUAAAGAAACUAAGUAAACUAAGUUGUCAUUAGUACCUAUUCGAUAUCUUUACUUAAAUGAGAUUUGUCUAAAGAUAUUAACAUCAAUUAUUGCUUUUCUAGUAAUUUAAGACAUUCUGCAUUAGUUGCAGCACUUUUCAUUUUACUGUCAGUUGUAGCUAUUUUAGGAAACCAUCAUUCAUCCCAAUCUCUUGCUAAAUAUAUGUCGACGUGAAAUGUCAUCUUUUGAUUGAUUUGCGCGGGUUUAAAUAUAUAAAAAAAUAUAUAUUUUGAAAGAUCAUAAAUGAAAUACUAUUCUUAUAUAUGCCAAAAUCCUAAUGGCUGACAGAAAUAUUUGUUUUUAAAUGGAAAUCCUAACUUAAAAUCCAAUAUUUGAAUGGUUUUAUUGUUCUUGGAUAUGUAAGUUUACCUUGAAGGUGAAGUGGAAGUGAUGCAAAUAUUCGCUUUAUUCAGCAUUUAUAGGAUAUAUUGAAGAUUUUAUUCGGGAUAUCGAAGUAAAAAGUAUAUUUUAAUAUUCUUACAUAAGGAUAUAGAAGAUAAUAAUGAUGAUGAUGCUGGAAGAUCGGGCUUCAUGUUAUACUAAAGCUAAAUUCAUACGUAAUGAAAUGAUAAGGAAUAAGGAUAAGCGGAUUAAAGAUGGAUGAAAGGAUUUAAGGAUACAGAGUAAAGAAACUAUAAUUCCCUUUAAAAGUAGGAUUAUGGUUCCAUUAUCUUUAAGAUAAGAGCGGAUAAUAAAGAGGACGUUACAUUAGAUCAUCUUUAUUACACAUUUAGAAGGUUCAAUUUAUAAUAUGACAAGGUCCAGUCGAGCGUGUUUACUCCUUAUCGAAGAAACGUCUAUUCAAGGAAUUUAUUGAUCAGGCAAUAUCGUGUGGCGUCCUUCAACCAAAUGACCUUCUAGAUGCAUUUUGCCAUUCCUAACCUCCAGAUAAAGGUCGGGAUUUAAAGACGAACAAUUUUUAUUCACCUCCUUGACAUGUCGAAAACCGAGCUCAAAUUUGGUUUCCUCAAAGAAAAAAAAAAGAAGAAGAAUAAUAAUUUUUUUACUAUUGAAAUCUAAGAAAAUAUAUAUGUUACCAAAUAAAAUGUAGAUAAAAUAAUAACACUAGAGAUUGAUCUAGUUCUUU